UCAAGGACGAUCUGAAUACAAUAGACCAGGCAUUUCCAUUUCCUUCUUCUCGCUCGAUGCCAUUCACCGUGUUCCUUCAAGCUCGCAGCUGUUCCAUCAACAAGCACAUUUCUCCAUGUGAUCGCAUUCGUACGUUGUUUAGCAUUACAAACGAAAGUUUUUUUUUUUUUUUUUAUUUUUUUUAGGAUGAAAGAUAACUAUCGAUACGUCUUUGGAAGGUUUCUUUUGAUAGGUUUGUUUUCUCAUUAAUGCUAGAACUACCAAAGUUGUCAGAAGUCGGUUAAUAAUUGUAUAAUCAGAACAGUUCUGCGAAUGUACAAUGUCGCAUUUUUAGAGAUUUGAUAUGUGAUGAGAGUAAGAGAUAUAAAGGGAAGUUUAUAUCUUUUUUAUUAUGGUACAAACUUUUUCUUCACUCCAUUUCUUACUUUAAUUUCUUUGAUAGAAUCGAUGGAAUAUUGAUACAUCUUCGGAAGAUUCUUUCAUAUAAUUUCUCACUAACACUAAAACUAUCAAAUGUCUAUAAUUUCUUAAAGCAGUUUUGCGGAUUACAAUAUCGCUGUUUUAGAGAAUUGAACGAUUUUUCUAAAAUAUGUUCUAAGGUUUAUAUUUUUUUAUUAUAAUAUAAGCUUUUCCCCCAUUUCUUGCACUCUAAUAUUUUCCUGAUAGACUUUUUAUACUUUAGUCGUCAGUAGCUCUAGUGUUAAAGAGAUAUCGAUUAUUAUUCCUUAAUAAUUACUUUUCCGAUGUUAUAUGACUACGCUGUUGGACACUUUUUUGUGAGAAAAAAAGUAAAUACGCAGAACUGCACGAAGUUUGCAUGAGGUGACAUAAUAAAUUCAGCAAACGUCGCAAUCGAUGGAUUGACGCCAAUACUUUAAUCUUAAUUGCACGAUGAGAAAAAAAAAGUCGGACGCUGAUUGCCCGGAUCAAAGUUGAACGCAACGUGAACAUAUUUCUUCGAAUGAACUACUGAAAAAAUUAAAUUACAAAAUAUGAAAAUAGAAAAAGUGACAAGUAUGGGUGAAGGUGAAGGCAAGAAAAUUAUAUGAGAAGGAAGAAGAAAAGAAGAAAAAGAAUUGAAUAAGACGAGCAUUAACAUUGUAACGAUAGAUAGCAAGAUGAAUGAGAUGAACUUUGCGAAAUUCCUCGAAGAAUCAAAGUACGCGGAGAACGAAUUAAUCUAAAAAUAUUUAACUUUUUUACUUACCGCAUUCUGAGAAGCCACCACGUAAAAUAUAGCGCUGACGACGACGUAGAUUGUCCCGAGCAUUCUUCCAACACUU